CMWUAAKAAKUUUCAUUCAUYGRCCCAGUAUKAACCCUGGCGSCAGUCKUAACCAUKCAAGUCGAGCCGGAUGAAGGGAGCUCCUCCUGGAUYCAGCGCGGRGGGGUGAGUAAUGCCUAGGAWYUKCCUGGUAGUGGGGGAUACGUCSGGAAACGGSSCUAAUCCSCAUACGUCCUGAGGGAGAAAGUGGGGGAUCUUCGGRCCUCMCGCUAUCAGAUGAKCCUAGGUCGGAUUAKCUAGUUGGUGGGGUAAAGRCCUMCCAAGGCGACGAUCCGUAMCUGGUCUGAGAGGAUGAUCAGUCACACUGGAACUGAGACMCGGUCCAGUCUCCUACGGGAGGCAGCAGUGGGGAAUAUUGGACAAWGGGCGAAAGCCUGAUCCAGCCAUKCCSCGUGUGUGAAGAAGGUCUUCGGAUUGUAAAGCMCUUUAAGUUGGGAGGAAGGGCAGUAAGUUAAUMCCUUGCUGUUUUGACGUUACCAMCAGAAUAAGCACCGGCUAACUUCGUGCCAGCAGCCGCGGUAAUACGAAGGGUGCAAGCGUUAAUCGGAAUUACUGGGCGUAAAGCGCGCGUAGGUGGUUCAGCAAGUUGGAUGUGAAAUCCCCGGGCUCAMCCUGGGAACUGCAUCCAAAACUCUGAGCUAGAGUACGGUAGAGGGUGGUGGAAUUUCCUGUGUAGCGGUGAAAUGCGUAGAUAUAGGAAGGAACACCAGUGGCGAAGGCGACCMCCUGGACUGAUACUGACACUGAGGUGCGAAAGCGUGGGGAGCAAACAGGAWUARAUACCCUGGUAGUCCACGCCGUAAACGUUKUGGGGCUAGCCGUUGGGAUCCUUGAGAUCUUAGUGGCGCAGMUAACGCGAUAARUCGMCCCSKCCCCGGC
rnacentral:rRNA from 1 species